UAGGGGGUCUGUCCCGGAGACCUUGACCCAGUGACAGAUGAAUAACGUACACGGACACAGAUAUUUUGCCUGUCAGUCCAGCUGAGAGUCCGGGCCACCUACAGACACCAAGGAGAGUGCUGUAAACAGUUGCAGCCGCAGACCAGCCAAUCAGCCAGCAAACCUCGCCUUUAUUCAGCAUAAAUGACAAAGGUCUUGAGUAAACACCACUAGAGGGUAAUUGACAUUGCUGACCUCCCAAGCAGAGAGCAAUUAUGCAGCAGCAGUUAUCAAAGGAUGGUUUUAGGACCACAGGAGUAAAGAAGCUAUUUAGAUAAACUACUCUACGCCCUAAGCAAUUAACUCAAGGUAAGGAUUACGCUGCCUUCAGCCUGAUCUAUUACUGGAGCUUAUGCAGAAUGAUAUGGUUUAGCAGUGUCCACACCCAAAUCUCAACUCAAAUUGUAAUCCCCACAUGUAGAGGGAGGGACCUAUAAUCCCCAAGUGUCAGGGAAGGGAAGUGAUUGGAUUAUGGGGGUGGUUUCCCCAUGCUGUUCUCGUAAUAGUGAGUGAAUUUUCACGAGAUCUGAUGGUUUUAUAAAUGAUAGUUUUUCCUGUGCUCACACACGCAUACUCUUUCCUGCUGCCUUGAGAAGAAAGUGCCUACUUUUCCUUCCACCAUGAUUGUAAGUUUCCUGAGGUCUCCCUAGCUAUGUGGGACUGUGAGUCAAUUAAACCUCUUUCGUUUAUAAAUUAUCCCAUCUCGGGUAGUAUCUUUGUAGAAGUGUGAGAAUGGACUAAUACAGGAAUGAUUUCUUUAGGCACUGUUAUUAAGCCCACUAUAAUUGGAAUAUUACAGAGUCCUCCUUUAACAUUAUGGCAGACAACAGUGUGCACAUUCUGUGUAUAUAUAUAAGCCUCUGUUGUGAGUCUCACCUGCAAGCAUAAGAAAGGAGUCAUACCUUUUCAUGUAUCAUCACUGGAACCCUGUUCUGUGUUUGAGCAGUACCUCCAUACCAAGGACUGAAGAAGGAAAGGGAUCUCACUGUUACUUAGCAGUUCCCUGAGAACCAACCAUCAGUUCCCAAGUAAUGAAGUUCAGGGUCAAUGGUGUGUUCCUUAAGGAACUUCAGACUUCAGAGGCUCUUCAGACUUAAGAGGCUAUUUUUUUAUGAAGAAAGUGUUUCUGUUAGUCUUAUUAGGUUUUGUUUCAAGUGGACAAUAUACUCUCUUCAACACAAGCUGGAGGAGAUACAGCGAAGCUCAUAGGAAGGAUGGAUAAGAAAUCCUCUCAGCUAGAGCUCUGGCUAAAUUUAAGAGAUCAGGACUGCAAGGAAAAAGAUACUUUGAGCCCUUCUCAUUUAGCUUUCUUUAAAUAAUCCCACCAUCCAAAAAUUAUCUAGGCUAGGUUGAGGAGGAUGAAAAUAUAAAGAAGCAUGAAAAUUCAUGGCCACUUUCUCUCCUACCCAGUAUCCAUUGUAAGUACACCAUUUUUUCUUGCUGGGUCCUGUGGGAGAAGAACUCUAGAUAAUUUGCAGGCAUUAAUUUUGAUGGGACCUGUAGUCUCUAAAGCUUUUUUAUAUCCUUGCUCAUCACUCUCAGAAUUCUAUUCAAUAAAUUUUAGAAAAGUGAUUCUAAUUAGAAAUAAAGAUUACUCUUUCAAAGGAGUAUUUUUAAAUAACUCUAAGACAUACUAGAGUGUUAUACUUCCAUAUAUCCAAUUAUCAUUUUGACUUUUUCCAGCAUUAGCUUACUUGGUAUUGGAUGGGGUGCAGUUUCAUAGGGUUAUUUUGUUUGCCAGCAAUAUUUGGUUAGUGGUAUCUAAUGCCCUAUGGAGAAAACAUCUCAGGAUCUUUGUUGACUAAAGGUGAUUUUUCUAGCUCAUUAUUUCUCUGCCUCAGCUUUAUUGACAUUUUGGACUGAAUAGUUCCUUGUGGGGUAGGCUGUCUUUUAUAUUUUAGGAUGUUUAGCAGCGUCCCUGACCUCUAUGAUCUAGAUUCCAGGAGCAGCUUCCUACCGAGUUGUAACAACCAGAAAUGUCUCUAGAUAUUGUUCGAUGUCCUCUGGGAGCAAGAUGAACCCUGUUGAGAAUGAUUCUUCUAAAUCUAUUAUGUGCUUGGUUAGUAAUAACAGCUAGCAUUUAUGGAGCACUUACUGAGUUCUGGCUACUAUAGUAAGCACUUAACUUUCAUUAAUGAAUUUGAUUGAAUCUCAGAAAAUCUCACAAAGUAAGUGCCAGUAUUUUCCCUAAGGAUAUUGACACACAGUAGUGUUGAGCCAAUGGGCCAAGAUCACAAAAUUCGUAAAGAGAAGAACCAGGAUCUGAACUAGCAGUUACAAUUUAGAACCGAUGCUCUUAACCAAGGUAGUACAGCUGUUGUCUAGCACUCAUUUAGGUAUAUGUAGUUACAGACUUGAAAAGCCUCUUCCUUUGCAGCUAUUUAAAGG
rnacentral:lncRNA from 1 species